GGCAAUUCUUAAUGAUCUUAAUUUAAAACUGACACAAAUAACAAGAACAAUAAGAUGUGACCGGUUUUUUUAAAAUCUCCGGAAAGUUUAGAGCAAACUUGCAACUACAAAACAAGCACGUAGUUCUAUUAAAGUAUACAGUUUAAUUUAAGUUUAAUUAUAUGAGAAUAAAAUAUAGAAAUGUUCCGUUUCGUUUGCACUUAUAAUUGCGUUGCAGAGAAAACCUGCAGACUUGAAAGCGAAAAAACCUUUUUUCAACGUAACGAAUGGAAAGACCCCUGCAAAAAUGAAUCAAUCUAGAAGUUGCUAUCGCAAGUGUAGUUCUAGCCUGCGAACAGGCGUUUAUAGCAGACCCCGAGGCACCUGAAUAAACACCUGUUCGCAGGCUAGUGUAGUCCUGCCUUGGCUUCAUACAUGUACAUCAAAAGCCAGAAGGGUUUUUUGUACUGCCCAUCGUCUCAUGAGGGUAACAAGCUUGUAUAAAUCUAUGUGUAAACAUACAUUUACACAGAUUCGGUUUAAUUCUUUACACAUAAAUUCAGUAAAAUAAUAUGAUACUGAAAUUUGAAAUGUAGAGUGGCAAGGUUUUGAAUACAGUCUUUUUAAAUUAAUACUAAUGUACUGUAAUGUCAAUUUCUUUGAAGUAGUAAUAGAUUUUUUGCAAGUAAUAUAGUACGUGUGUCUGUGGAAAUUAUCCGAUUGUUUGAAAUAAUAAUUGCA
rnacentral:lncRNA from 1 species